rnacentral:rRNA from 1 species
GAUGAACGCUGGCGGCGUGCCUAAUACAUGCAAGUCGAGCGAACAGACGAGGAGCUUGCUCCUCUGACGUUAGCGGCGGACGGGUGAGUAACACGUGGAUAACCUACCUAUAAGACUGGGAUAACUUCGGGAAACCGGAGCUAAUACCGGAUAAUAUAUUGAACCGCAUGGUUCAAUAGUGAAAGACGGUCUUGCUGUCACUUAUAGAUGGAUCCGCGCCGCAUUAGCUAGUUGGUAAGGUAACGGCUUACCAAGGCGACGAUGCGUAGCCGACCUGAGAGGGUGAUCGGCCACACUGGAACUGAGACACGGUCCAGACUCCUACGGGAGGCAGCAGUAGGGAAUCUUCCGCAAUGGGCGAAAGCUUGACGGAGCAACGCCGCGUGAGUGAUGAAGGUCUUCGGAUCGUAAAACUCUGUUAUUAGGGAAGAACAUAUGUGUAAGUAACUAUGCACGUCUUGACGGUACCUAAUCAGAAAGCCACGGCUAACUACGUG